UCUCUGGAGGACUAGUGGUUAGGUCUCUGCGCUCUCACCAUGCGGCUCGGGUUCGAUUCCCAGCCAGGGAA